GGUUGAACUUGAGUUUGUGGUGUUUUUUGAACUUGAGUUUGUUUCGUGUUUGAAUUUGAGCUUGUGUGUUUUUUUGUCUAAAGUUUGUGGCACUUUAUGAACUUGAGUUUGUUGAACUUGAGUUUGUGGUCUUUGUUCAACUUGAGUUUGUGAUUUUUAGUGAACUCUAGUUGGUGGCAUCUUUGAACUUGAGUUUGUGGCAUUUGUUGAACUUGAGUUUGUGAUGUGUUUGAACUUGAGUUUGUGGUGUUUUUGAACUUGAGUUUGUGUCCUGUUUGAAAAUGAGUUUGUGGCGUGUUUGAACUUGAGUUUCUGCUGUCUUUGAACUUGAGGUUGUGGCAAUUGUUAAACUUGAGGUUUGGGUGUUGGUUGAUCUUGAGUUUUUGUCUUGUUUGAACUUUUGUUUUUGGAUUUUUUGAACUAGAGUUUGUGUGUUUUUUUAACUUAAGUUUUUGGCAACUUAUGAACUUGAGUAUAUUGAACUUGAGUUUGUGGCAUUUGUUGAACUUGAGUUUGUGAUGUGUUUGCACUCCAGGUUGUGGUGUUUUUGAACUUGAGGUUGUGGCAAUUGUUGAACUUGAGUCUGUGGUUUUUAGUGAACUUAAGUUGGUGGCAAUUCUUUAACUUGAUUUUUGAGUUUGUAGCGUGUUUGAAUUUGAGGUUGUUGCAAUUUUUAAAUUUGAGAUUUGGGUGUUGGUUGAACUUAAAAUUUUCACAUUUAUUGAACUGGAGUUUGUGGUUUUUUGUUGAACUUGAGCUUGUGUUUUUUGAACUUGAGUAUGUGUGUUUGUUGAACUUGAGUUUGUGGUGUUUUUUGAACUUGAGGUUGUGGUUUUUUUUAACCUGAGUUUGUGUUUUUCUUGAACUUGAGUUUUUGGCAUGUUUGAAUUUGAGGUUCUUGCAAUUCUUAAACUUGAGAUUUGGGUGUUGGUUGAACUUGAAACUGUGACAUUUGUUGAACUUGAGUUUGUGGUGUUUGCUGAACCUGAGUUUGUAUCGUGUUUGAAACUGAGUUUGUGGUGUUUUUGAACUUGAGGUUGUGUGUUUUUUGAACUUGAGUUUGUGGUGUUUUUGAACUUCAGUUUGUGGCCCUUUUUUAACUUGAGUUUGUUGAACUUUAGUUUUUGGCAAUUGUUAAAUGUGAGUUUAGGUCAUUUGUUGAACUUGAAAUUUUGGAAUUUGUUGAACUUAAGAUUGUGGUGUUUGUUGAACUUGAGUUUUUGGCAAUUGUUGAACUUGAGUCUGUAUUUUUCUCUAAACUUUAGUUGGUGGCAAUUGUUGAAGUUGAGUUUGUGGUGUUUUUGCACCUGAGUUUGUGUCGUGUCUGAACUUGAGUUUGUGUUGUAUUUGAACUUGAGGUUGUGGCAAUUGUUAAACUUGAGAUUUGGGUGUUGGUUGAACUUGAAAUUGUGGUAUUUGGCAAAUUUGAGUUUGUCGCGUGUUUGAACUUGAGUUUGUGGUGUUUUUGAACUUGAAGUUGUUGAAAUUGUAAAAUUUGAGAUUUGGAUUUGGUUGAACUUGAGUUAGUGUUGCAUUUUGAACUUGAGUUUGUGGUGUUUUUGAGCUUGAGCUUGUGUGUUUUUUGAACUGAAGUUUGUGGCAAUUGUUAAACUUGCGACUUGGGUGUUGGUUGAACUUGAGUUUGUGGUGUUUUUGAACUUGACUUUGUGUGUUUGUUGAACUUGAGUUUGUGGCGUGUUUGAACUUGAGUUUGCGGUGUUUUUGAACUUGAUUUUGUAUGUUUGUUGAACUUGAGUUUGUGGCGUGUUUGAACUUGAGUUUGUGGUGUUUUUGAAAUUAAGGUUUUGGCAAAUGUUAAACUUGAGAUUUGGGUGUUGGUUGAACUUGAGUUUUUGUUGUUUUUGAACUUGAGAUUGUGGUGUUUUUGAACUUCAGUAAGUGUGUUUGUUUAACUUUAGUUUAUGCUGUGUUUGAACUUGAGUUUUUGGUGUUUUUGAAAUUGACUGUGUGUUUGAACUUGAGUUUGUGUUGUGUUUGAACUUGGGCUUGUGUCUUGUUUGAACUUGAGUUUGUGGUGUUUGUUGAACUUGAGUUUGUGUCGUGUUUGCACUUGAGUUUUUGGUGUUUUUGAUCUUGACUUGGUGGUGUAUUUGAACUUGAGUUUUGUGUUUGAACUUGAGUUUGUGGUGUUUGUUGAACUUGAGUUUGUGGCGUGUUUGCACUUGAGUUUUUGGUGUUUUUGAUCUUGAUUUUGUGUGUAUGUUGAACUUGAGUUUGUGGUGUUUUUGAACUUGAGUUGGUGGUGUUAAUGAACUUAAGCUUGUGUUUGAACUUGAGUUUGUGGUUUUUGUUGAACUUGAGUUUGUGUCAUGUUUGAACUUGAUUUUGUGUUGUUUUUAACUUGAGUUUGUGGUUUUUUUUAAGUUGAGGGUGUGGAAUUUGUUGAAUUUGAGGUUGUGGCAAUUGUUAAACUUGAGUUUGUGUUUUAGUUGAACUUGAGUUUGUGUCGUGUUUGCACUUGAGUUAGUGGUGUUUUUUAUGAACUUGAGUUUGUGUGUUUGUUAAACUUGAGGGUGUGGCAAUUGUUAAACUUGAGAUCUGGGUGUUGGUUGAACUUAAGUUUUUUUGUGUUUGAACUUGAGUUUGUGGUGUUUGUUGAAUUUGAGUUUGUGUGUGUUUGAACUUGAUUUUGAGGUGUUUUUGAACCUGAGUUUGUGGUUUUUGUUUGAACUUGAUUUUGUGUGUUUGUUAAACUUGAGUUUGUGUGUUUUUUGAACUUGAGUUGGUGGUGUUUUUGAACUUGAGUUUCGUGUUUGAACCAGAGUUUGUGGUUUUUGUUAAACUUGAGUUUGUGUCAUGUUUUAACUUGAGUUUGUGGUCUUCUUGAAAUUGAGUUUGUGUGUUUUUUGAAGUUAAGGAUGUGGAAUUUGUUGUACUCAAGGUUGUGGAAAUUGUUAAACUUGAGUUUGUGUGUUAUUUGAACUCUAGUGUGUGUUGUAUUUGAACUUCAGUUUGUGUGAUUGUUGAACUUGAGUUUGUGUUGUUUUUGAACUUGAGUUUGUGGUCUUCUUGAAAUUGAGUUUGUGGUGUUUUUAAACUUGAGUUUGUGUGUUUGUUAAACUUGAGGGUGUGGCAAUUGUUAAACUUGAGAUCUGGGUGUUGGUUGAACUUAAGUUUUUGUUGUGUUUGAACUUGAGUUUGUGGUGUUUUUUAACUUGAGUUUGUGGUGUUUUUGAACUUGAAUUUGUUGUGUUUGAACUUGAGUUUGUGGUGUUUGUUGAAUUUGAGUUUGUGUCGUAUUACAACUUGAUUUUGUGGUGUUUUUGAACUUGAGUUUGUGGUUUUUGUUUGAACUUGAUUUUGUGUGUUUGUUAAACUUGAGUUUGUGUGUUUUUUUAACUUGAGUUGGUGGUGUUUUUGAACUUGAGUUUCGUGUUUGAACCAGAGUUUGUGGUUUUUGUUAAAUUUGAGUUUGUGUCAUGUUUUAACUUGAGUUUGUGGUCUUCUUGAAAUUGAGUUUGUGUUAUUUUUGAAGUUGAGGAUUUGGAAUUUGUUGUACUCAAGGUUGUGGAAAUUGUUAAACUUGACUUUGUGUGGUAUUUGAACUCUAGUGUGUGUUGUAUUUGAACUUCAGUUUGUGUGAUUGUUGAACUUGAGUUUGUGUUGUGUUUGAACUUGAGUUUGUGGUGUUUGUUGAACUUGAGUUUGUGUUGUGUUUGCAAUUGAGUUUGUGGUGUUUUUGAACUUGAGUUUGUGGUGUUUUUAAACUUGAGUUUGUGUGUUUGUCAAACUUGAAUUUGUUAUGUUUGAACUUGAGUUUGUGGUGUUUGUUGAACUUGAGUUCGUGUCGUGUUUGCACUUGAGUUUGUGGUGUUUUUGAACUUGAUUUUGUAUGUUUGUUGAACUUGAGUUUGUGGCGUGUUUGAACUUGAGUUUGUGGUGUUUUUGAAAUUAAGGUUUUGGCAAAUGUUAAACUUGAGAUUUGGGUGUUGGUUGAACUUGAGUUUUUGUUGUUUUUGAACUUGAGAUUGUGGUGUUUUUGAACUUCAGUAAGUGUGUUU
rnacentral:lncRNA from 1 species